rnacentral:rRNA from 1 species
UACGUAGGGGGCUAGCGUUGUCCGGAAUCAUUGGGCGUAAAGAGCGUGUAGGCGGCCACGCAGGUCCGUUGUGAAAACUGGAGGCUCAACCUUCAGACGUCGACGGAAACCGUGUGGCUAGAGUCCGGAAGAGGAGAGUGGAAUUCCUGGUGUAGCGGUGAAAUGCGCAGAUAUCAGGAAGAACACCAAUGGCGAAGGCAGCUCUCUGGGACGGUACUGACGCUGAGACGCGAAAGCGUGGGGAGCGAACAGG